GGAGGGCUGGUUUUAUUUAGGGAGACACCAAGGUGAUGUGGAAGAGAUGUGGGUGGGAAGGGAGAGCUUAGCCAAUGGAAAUAAAGUCCUCCCCCCUACACACGCCACUAGAGACAAGAUUAAAAGCGAGAGCGAGGGAGAAAAGGCUUCAAACAAGUCGCUCGGCAGCCCGGAGCCUGGCCAGUGGAGGAGACAAAGACAGUGGCCAAAUGAUUGUACCAGUGGAAAACAGAAUGUGUGCACUUGGCCUUGGGGAGACGGAGGAGAAAACUGCAGAAGCCAGUCCACACAGAGAGGACUUUUGGGGUUUGGCUGCCAACUGAUAUGAGCCCUGGAAUGGAUUUAACUUGCUGUGUGGCCUUUGGAAAAUCAUGUAGCAUCUCUGUGCUGUUUCCUUGUUUGUGCUAAAUUAUUGCUGAGGCCUCCUCUUGUGCCAGCUUUCUAUGCCACUACAAUUUGACACGAUCCUUGACCAAAUCAUAAAUUCCUGGUUAAUGGGAUAAAAAUGAGUUAGAAUCUGGGAUUCUGGUCAUUAACCCCAUGUCACCAUCUGCUGGAGCGGUGUGAUGACAGGGUCAGGUGAAUCCAAACCGCCCAACACUUGUUAAACAUGCAGAUACUUGUUCUAUCCUCUCUCCGCCCCCUCCUCCACCCCCACGGAAUCAGAAUCUCUAGGGUGCAGGGAAGGCUCUCCUCCUUUAUGGGAUUAUGGAGGGCAGAGCGGGGAUCCCACCAGAACCAGCCACAUUCCAGGAGCUCCUGUCUAUCAGGCAUGCCAAGACAUUUUUCCGGAGUUUUGCACUUGGAUUUCCCUCAGCCUGGGAAGGUUUCCCCCACAGCUGGCGUCUUCUCAUAUGUCACCUGCACAGAGAGGACUUGGCUGGCCCCUCUAUCUCCCCCCUCCCCCCUUCCUCCCCACUAACCCAUCACUUGUUUCCUUUCCUUUUCAGUACUAAUCAUUUUUUGAAAUUCAUCUCCUCUUCUUGUGAAUUAUCUACUACUCCUACUGGAACAGAAGGCCCCACUCCAUCCCCACCCCCACCCCCAGGGGCAGAGACCCUUCCUGGGUGUUGGAGGCCAUACCUCAGCAUGAGGGGCACGGGAGAUGCUCUGGGAUGUGAGCAUUCCCUUACCUCCAAGCCCAAAGCUUCUUCUCUGAGAUGCAAGAAUGGGGACCCCCUUCUGACCCUGAGAAACCUGUGUCCUGUCCUGAAGUCAGUUCCUGAAGACAGCCAACCUUGACAUUUGCCACGCUAGCUUUUCUCUGUUUUCCUCACCUGACGGCAUAAUGAUGUCAUAAAGAAACAACUGAAACAGUAGGUGUUUAAUAAAGGCUUGCUAAUACGAAAUAAGGAAGGCAAUCACAGAAGGACCUCCAGACUCUUCCUUACUCUCAAUCAAUUUU